ACGAACGCUGGCGGCGUGCUUCACACAUGCAAGUCGAACGGAAAGGCCCUGCUUUUGUGGGGUGCUCGAGUGGCGAACGGGUGAGUAACACGUGAGUAACCUGCCCUUGACUUUGGGAUAACUUCAGGAAACUGGGGCUAAUACCGGAUAGGAGCCCCUGCUGCAUGGUGGGGGUUGGAAAGUUUCGGCGGUUGGGGAUGGACUCGCGGCUUAUCAGCUUGUUGGUGGGGUAGUGGCUUACCAAGGCUUUGACGGGUAGCCGGCCUGAGAGGGUGACCGGCCACAUUGGGACUGAGAUACGGCCCAGACUCCUACGGGAGGCAGCAGUGGGGAAUAUUGCACAAUGGGCGGAAGCCUGAUGCAGCAACGCCGCGUGCGGGAUGACGGCCUUCGGGUUGUAAACCGCUUUCGCCUGUGACGAAGCGUGAGUGACGGUAAUGGGUAAAGAAGCACCGGCUAACUACGUG
rnacentral:rRNA from 1 species